UCUUCAUGGACGCCGCAUCUCCGCUUCCUUUUUUACAUAACUUGCCGCGAACAGAUACAAAUCAGACAGGUGUGGUGGUACGUGCUCUUAACGACUGACACGUGUAUCCCUGGACAGAUGUGGAUUACGUAGGAGACAGUUGUGGCUAAUUAGCUGACAGGUGUGUGGUGCUUAGGAUGUGUUAGCUUGUAAGCUUCCGGGAAUGUGCUAAGCUUGUGCUGAAAACUGCUGAUAUUUAAAUAACCACAGAUGGCGACGUGUUCAGCGCGUGUGUGAUCUCUCGAGUUCACGUUGGCAAACUGGACUGAACAGAGCACGAAGACGGACACAAGAUUCCAGCAGGACCAGGAAUAUGCGCCGCCGCGAUGCAGGAGUCAGGGAGCGGAAAGGGAGCAAUCAAGUGGCGGCGGCAGUGGUGGUGGUGGUGGAGAGAACAAGAGAGUGAAUGGAGAAAUGAAGAAGAGCAAGAACUGAAAGAAAGGGUAUCCACUCCUACUUUUCGCAAACUAGUGCCUUCAACAACAGGAGCAAAUUUAACUCAUUUGAAGCGUGUGUUGAUGACCCCAUUACUGGAGGAGUGUUCCCUUAGUCACCGAUCCAAGACGGAGGGUCCCUCAGACAUGGCUCGGUUGAAAUUAACUGUGGGCCUCCUUCGGACUAGAAGCACGUCACCUAAGAAAUCCUUGGUGACAAUCUAACACACACACACACACACACACACACACACACACACACACACGUUGAUCUGAGGAACAUGCAUAUCCCUUCGAGAGAGAGAGAGAGAGAGAGAGAGAGAGAGAGAGAGAGAGAGAGAGAGAGAGAGAGAGAGAGAGAGAGAGAGAGAGAGCAUUCAAGAUCCAAACACCUGCUUCGUCUGAGUGGCCGUAACUGCUUUCACGUUAAGAGGAAGCAGAAUUACCGAGACGUGGUGUAAAUUCCUUCCUUGUCCUCGCUUUACGGAAAUACAAAUUCAUGUGCCGCUAGUAAGGGUGUUAAGACCUCGCCUCGUUAACUGAUUGAAUAAGCUAAUGGUUUAAUUCGGUUUAGUAUAAGUGUAUGGAUGCGCAUUGUUUGCUUUUGUGAACUGGUUAAUGAGAAUAAGAGGAGGUAUGAGGAGGAGAAUGGGGAGGAAGAGAUAGUAUAAAUUGAAAUACAGUAAAAUGAACGUAAAGGGAAAGAAACAAAGAAGAAAGAAGUGAAAUUUUUGUCGGAAGUAAAACGCAAGGAGGAGGAGGAGGAGGAGGAGGAGGAGGAAGCCAAAGCUAUAAAUAGUUCCGGAGCUUCUUCUCCUGGCGUUUCGAAACUGUAAGACUCAAACGUUUCGCUUAAAAAGAAAGCCAAAAAGAUACAAAGAAAGAGAAGACGAGAGAGAGAGAGAGAGAGA